GACAGAGGGGGCAAGCGUUGCUCGGAAUUACUGGGCGUAAAGGGCGCGUAGGCGGGAUGGCAAGUCGGUCGUGAAAUCCCUCGGCUCAACCGAGGAACGUCGAUCGAUACUGCUGUUCUUGAGGAUUGCAGAGGAGACUGGAAUUCCCGGUGUAGCGGUGAAAUGCGUAGAUAUCGGGAGGAACAUCAGUGGCGAAGGCGACUUCCUGGCCUGUUCUUGACGCUGAGGCGCGAAAGCUAGGGUAGCAAACGGG
rnacentral:rRNA from 1 species